GGGGUUGUGGCUCAGGGGCAGAGCACUUACCUGGCAUGUGUGAAGCCCUGGGUUCAAUCCACAGCACCACCU
rnacentral:tRNA from 1 species